rnacentral:rRNA from 1 species
AUUGAACGCUGGCGGCAUGCCUUACACAUGCAAGUCGAACGGUAACAGGUUAAGCUGUCGAGUGUCCAACGGGUGAGUAAUGUAUCGGAACGUGCUCAGUCGUGGUGUAUAACUGCGCGGAAGAUCAGGUAAUACCGCAUACGAUCUGAGGGCGUAAGCGGGGCGGCUCAAAACCGCGCGUCAUCGGAGCGUCCGAUAUCAGAUUAGGUAGUUGGUGAGGUAAAGGCUCACCAAGCCGACGAUCUGUAGCUGGUCUGAGAGGACGACCAGCCACACUGGGACUGAGACACGGCCCAGACUCCUACGGGAGGCAGCAGUGGGGAAUUUUGGACAAUGGGCGCAAGCCUGAUCCAGCCAUGCCGCGUGCGGGAAGAAGGCCUUCGGGUUGUAAACCGCUUUUGUCAGGGAAGAAAAGGUUCUGGCUAAUACCUGGGACUCAUGACGGUACCUGAAGAAUAAGCACCGGCUAACUACGUG